rnacentral:lncRNA from 1 species
AGAUAAUGUCGCCAAUGUGAUCAUCCUCCUAGAGGUAUUUUCAUCUUGGUAUGGAGCCUCCAGAGCUAUCUUUGCUGAAAGAAUGAAACUUCAGGAAUGAAAGUUUGCACAUAAAGAAAUAUUUAUUGAGCACCGGUGAUGUUCCAGGCGUGGUUUUUGGUGCUAGCAGGAGAGAAAACAACACCUGUGGCCUAAAGAGCUCAACCUGACCUGAAGAACUCAAGGGAAUCUUGAACUUGAAUCUCCUUCAA